AAAAGCCUUACACAGUGAUAUCUAAGGUUAAUGGUUAAUUUCUGUUAGCAUGAUCUGUGUUACCAUAUGAACUGCUGUGGUGAUAAGUGGACUGCUAUGCUAUAGUUAUUAAUAAGGACUGCUAUAUGCUAAAUGACUAGACUAAGUGUGCAGUUUAGAUUCAUGACCAAAAUACCAAGCUAAUAAUCAAGUAAAGUCAGCUAUGCUUGUAUAUUAUGUGGAUUGGUAUAUUAUGUAUAACCUAGAUGUAUGCUAUGCAUGUUCAAUACAGUAUAAAAAGAUAGUAUAAGUUUGUAUAUUGCACCUUCAUGCUAUCCUUGUAAACAUAUGUGUAAACCAUGGUUAUUUUUGAAAUAAAAUGACCAAAAAGGGGACUGUUAUAUAUAUAUAUAUAUAUAUAUAUAUAUAGAUAUAUAUACCAGCAUGCUGCUGGGAACACUGUGCUGCUGCAGUCACUACAUGGUUGAGAUGUUGAACUAUUUUGUGUUAAAACUAUUUGGAAUAAGUCUAUAUCCAGGGACAUUUUUGCCAAGUAUAUUGAAUAUAUAACAUAUAUAGAAAGUAAAAAUCCUUGCAAAUUGAACUUUUGAAUACCUGAGGUUGUUAUAGAAAAAUGUAAUUAAACCAUGUCUAUAUAUAGACUGUUUUGAUGAUGUAGUACUGAACCUUGCCUAUUUUCUGUUAUAGACUCAAAGACUGUUAUAUGGAUGCUUGAGUUGCUAUGUAAACUAUUGUAGGAUCUAACUGAGGGACAUGCAAUGUUGCUAUUUUAACUGACUGUUAACAUGAUAGGUGUUGAGUUGUUAUAUUAAAUUGACUGCUAUGCUAUGGCUAUGCUAAUAUGGACUGAACUUAGGCACAAGGAGCUAGGUUGGGCUGUGGAGUAAUAAGGAGGAUAAAAUUGGCUUUCUAACACAAGCAAAUAGCUAUGGCACUAGUAAAUUGAGACUAGGUACACCACCUGCUCGACAAAAGUCCCAAGUGGACUGUUUUGACAAAGAACUGACCAUUAGAUCACCAUUAAGCAUGAGCUGGAUUUAAUUGUUACAUGUGAUGUUAAAUGGAGUGUUGGAAAGAUGUUAAGAUAAAAAAAACAUAACAAAAAGACUUGGAAUAACAAGUAAGGGCUGCUGCUAAAGUGCAGCAGUAGAUGGCCUUAGGGGCCUACUAAAAAUAAGAACUUGAGCAACCAGUAGUUACAACACUUUGAGCAUGUCUAAAAAUCUAUUGGUUCA
rnacentral:lncRNA from 1 species